rnacentral:lncRNA from 1 species
UUGCAACUCCUCUUUAGCAAGGAGAAGCCAUGGAAUGUAAUGAACAAAGCACUGGACAAGGUCAUUGGCCAGAUGGCUGACCUCUCUCAGCUCAAUCUCCUCAUGAAUAAAGGGCUUAGACUCGAUGUAUACAACAGCCCACUCAACUCUCGGCAUGAGAAUUCUAAGAGAUGGAGUCUCACUAUGCCACCCAGUCUGGGCUCAAACUCCUGUGCUCAAGCUAUCCUCCUUCCUCAGCCUCUCAAUGCCCUGGGAUUACAGAAGAAGAGAAGAAGAGACACUAACACACAAGGAACACAGUCAAGUGAAGAUGGAGGCAGAGUGGAGUUACGCCACCCAAGCCAAGGAACACCUGGGGCUGCCGGAACCUGGAAGAGGCAAGGAAGGUUCUCCUAGUGGAUUCAGAGGGAGCAUGACCCUGCCAAGACCAUAACUUUAGACUUCUAUCCUCCAGAACGGUGAUAUAAUACAUUUCUUUUGCUUUAAGCUACCCAGUUUGUUUCUUUUGUUUUAAGCUAUCCAGUUUUAUUAUA